AUGACUGACUGGGUUGGACUUGGGGCUGCCCUCCCCAACGGCCACGCUAGACCGCCCGCUCCUGCCAAGAUCCAACACAACUUUCCGCCCCCUCGUCCGGUCGUCGGGCCGUCGCCGCCGAACACCGCCCCCCUCCACCGAAGCGCGGCAGCUCGAAGCAUGCCUAAGAUAAAGACGAGCCGUGUGAAGUAUCCUGAAGGAUGGGAGCUUAUUGAACCAACUCUCCGUGAUUUGGAAGCCAAAAUGAGAGAAGCUGAGAAUGAUACACAUGAUGGGAAGAGGAAGUGUGAGGCUCUCUGGCCAAUCUUCCGUAUUUCUCACCAAAAGAGCCGUUAUAUAUAUGAUCUCUACUAUCGAAGGAAGGAGAUAAAAAAGGAGCUGUAUGAGUUUUGCUUGGACCAAGGUUAUGCAGACAAAAAUCUGAUUGCUAAGUGGAAAAAGCCAGGUUAUGAGCGUCUCUGCUGCCUCCGCUGCAUACAGACACGAGACCACAACUUUGCAACCACCUGCGUCUGCAGGGUCCCCAAGCACCUCAGGGAAGAGACGGUGAUAGAAUGUGUCCACUGCGGAUGCAAGGGGUGUGCCAGCGGCGAUUGA
rnacentral:rRNA from 1 species